GAGAAUUUCCCUUAGCCAUCAGAAGCCAUUUCAUCUUGAAAUGCCUGGGAGGUAAUUUCUUCAUCCUAGUACUGUCCUUAUCCAGCCAAUAAUGGAGUCAAAAAAGUGUACACUAUUCUAGGCCUCCUGCUUCGGUUUUUGAGGACACAAUUUAAGCUCCAUUACUUACAUCUGGAGAGCUGUGUGUCUUUUUAUCACUGUCCUAGAGGAACUAAUGGAAAUAGCUUCAGGAAACAGACUUAAAGAUGGGUUUCAUGGAUUGGAUUGAAAAUAUAUUUGAGAGCAUUGGAGAUAUCAUUCUUGCUGUAAGAGAUGGAAAUAAUACAUGUUGUGUGUUGGCAACAUGGUUAUUCAAAUAAUUACUGGUGGAAGCAUGAAAUAAAAG
rnacentral:lncRNA from 1 species